rnacentral:rRNA from 1 species
AUUGAACGCUGGCGGCAUGCCUUACACAUGCAAGUCGAACGGUAACAGGUCUUCGGAUGCUGACGAGUGGCGAACGGGUGAGUAAUACAUCGGAACGUGCCUAGUAGUGGGGGAUAACUACUCGAAAGAGUGGCUAAUACCGCAUGAGGUCUACGGAUGCAAGCCGGGGAUCGCAAGACCUUGUGCUACUAGAGCGGCCGGUGGCAGAUUAGGUAGUUGGUGGGCUAAAAGUUUACCAAGCCGACGAUCUGUAGCUGGUCUGAGAGGACGAUGAGCCACACUGGGACUGGGACACGGCCCAGACUCCGACGGGAGGCAGCAGGGGGGAAUUCUGGACAAUGGGCGCAAGCCGGAUCCAGCAAUGCCGCGUGCAGGAUGAAGGCCGUCGGGUUGUAAACUGCUUUGGUACGGAACGAAAAGGCCCGGGUUAAUACCCUGGGGUCAUGACGGUACCGUAAGAAUAAGCACCGGCUAACUACGUGCCAGCCGCCGCUGUAA